ACACCAUGGACUUGGCAGCUCAGUAAUUAUCUCACAGUCCCAGAGCUCAGAGUCCAGCACGGGUCUCACUGGGAUAAUGUCAAGGUGUCAGUGAGGCUGUGUUCCUUCUGGAGGCUCCAGGGGAGAAGCCAUCCCUUGCCUUUUCCACCUCCGAGAGGUGCCUGCAUUCCUUGGCUCGUGGCCCCAAGCUCCCACCAUAAAGUCAACCACAGUGGGUGGAGGUCUUCCUGCACCAAGUCACUCUGGCCCCUGCUCCUGCCUCUCUCCUCCCCAGUGCAGGACCUAUGUCAUGAUCCAGGAUCAUCUCUCCAUCUCACGCCAACUGACUUGAAGUCUGGAUGUCCUGGGGCCACGAAGUCUAAGACAGUCAUGGAUUCCUGGAUUCCAAUGUGGACCGCUUUAGGGGCCAUUCCUCUGGGGCCACGCCUUCCUCCCCGGAGGGGUUCAGGGGUCUUGCCCAGCCAUGCUGCCUCCUGGUGGAGUGCUGCUCAGCCACACACACCUGUCUCCCAGGAAGCACCUAAACUCCUUUUCUGGGCUCCCUUGCUGAAUCUGCAGUUUUGAAGGUUAUCCACUCAUCUAUUUGUUCAACAAAUGUUUAUUGAGCGUCUGCUAUCUGCCAGGUGGCAGGACCAAUGUUGGCCCUGAAGUUCUGAGCUGGUGGUAAAGAAUACUGAGGGAAAGCCUAUGAAAUGUAAGGUAAGAGCUGUUCUUGUUUCGUUUUUUUAAAAUGCAAUAGGAAUCAUCCUACUUUUAAAAUCAUUUGGGAUCAAUCGAGUUAUAUUCAUUGUAUACAUUCAAUGUAUUCAUUGAUUCUUUCCUGGCUUUAUUUGCCCGUUCCAAAAUAUCUGUUGAAUGACAGAUAUCAAUACAAAUAAAGAACUGCUUCAAAUCGGUGUUAUCUGCUAAAAAGCUUGUGUGUCUAGUCACUGUCUCUGGGCUUGAAUUUCCAGGCUGGAAUCCUUGGUGAAGGUUCUUUUUGGAAACCUGCCAGCUACAAAGACAAACGAGUGGUUGAUUUUGUGGAUGGUGAAUAUUCGGCACAGCUCCAGAGCAUCUGGGCCGUGUGCUGCCUGUUCUGAAACACCCCGAGACGGGGGCACCUUUGGACGUUUUAAAGUGUUCUUCCUCUAAAAUUUUUACAAGAGCUGGAGGCACAGAAACAAUACAAUAUCUUGCCCAACUGGAUCCAGAGACCAAAUAGACAUUCUUGCGGUGUUUCCAGCUGUCUCGAUCCAAGAAGCUCUGGGUAACUGUUCACAAAGUGGAAGGAAAUUAGCCUUAUUUGGGGAUCUGUGUAUUUGAGUUCGGGGUAAAUCUUUUCCUUCCUGCUUUACCUAACUGGAAUAUCUGUUGCACUCCCCUCACUUAAAUUCAUAGAUAUUUAUUCAAAGUUUUCAUUCCCUUAAUUUGCUUUGACCUGGAGACCGAUUUGCAUAGAUUUUGAAUAAUCUAAUGACAUAGCUUCCUGCAGCAUGGGGGGCUCACAUAUUACCAGCUUUGAUGGGGAAAUUAACUGUUCCUAAUUUAUAGAUCCCUCAUACUGCUCAGGAGAGAAACCUGUAUGGUGAAUGUUUGUUUGUUUGUUUUUUCCAAGGAGAAGAGAGGAGAGAGAUGAAGCAGGAGAGCGUGUCUGUAGAAGUCCCUUGUGUAGAGGGCACCGGCCUAGCGGCUUCACGUAUAGAUGCCUUUUCUAGGUCAGCAACUUUGUUUUUAUUUAUUCAUUUAUUUUUGAGACAGGGCCUCACUCUACUACCCAGGCUGGAGUGCAGUGGUGCGAUGACAGCUCACUGCAGCCUCCACCACCCAGGCUCAAGUGAUUCUCCUGCCUCAGCCUCCCUGGGUAGCUGAGACUACAGGCGCCCGCCACCAUGCCUGGCUAAUUUUUUGCAUUUUCAGUAGAGACAGAGUUUUGCCAUGUUACCCAGGCUGGUCCUAAGCUUAAGCAAUCCGCCUGCCUCAGCCUCCCCAAUGCUAGGAUUACAGGCAUCAGCCACCGCACUCGCCCAGCAACUUUGGAUGAAUCACUUGAUCUGUUGAAAUCUGAGUUUCUUCAUCUAAGAAAAUAAUAUUGGACCAAAAUAUCUUACAGGGCUAUCACGAUGGGCAGAUGAGGCCAUGAAUGUAAACAUGCUUUGAAAACGCUGAAUAUUAUAAAAUAUGGAGGACGAGCAUUAGUUAAUUAUCAUAGAAAUUCAUGCAAUUUGUCGAACACCUGCUAUGUGCCAGAUUGGACCCAUAAAUACACAUUUCCAGAAGAAGAAGGAAUUUCAAGCUUAGUUAAUAGUGAAUUUGUUGGGAUUUUCACUUCUGGGAUAACAGGUACUGGAUUUUCCCUCCCAAU
ensembl:lncRNA